rnacentral:rRNA from 1 species
ACUACGGGAGGCAGCAGUGAGGAAUAUUGGUCAAUGGUCGGGAGACUGAACCAGCCAAGCCGCGUGAGGGAUGAAGGUACAGAGUAUCGUACACCUCUGUUGUCAGGGAACAAAGGCGGGGACGUGUCCCCGGAGGAGUGUACCUGAAGAAAAAGCAUAGGCUAACUCCGUGCCAGCAGCCGAGGUAAUACGGAGGAUGUGAGUGUUAUCCGGUUUUAUUGGGCUUAAAGGGGGCGCAGGCGGUCUGUCAAGUCAGUGGUAAAAGCCGGGGGUCCAACCCCGGCCCGCCGUUGAAACUGGCAGUCUCGAGUUGGAGAGAAGUAUGCGGAAU